rnacentral:lncRNA from 1 species
ACUCAUUACGCAAAUACACAUCACCUGGUAUGCUUAAAUCCAAUAAGCACUCAAGUUUAUACAGCUUGAAGUUGGAAAAUAUGCAUAAAAAUUAUGAUUUGGCCAAAAUACUCACUUGCCUAAUAAUUGUGCACACAGUGUAUACUCCAAAAGCAUAGGGGGCACCAUAUCACCAGAUCAUCAGGUCAUACCUGCUGCUAACUGCUGUUACAGCUUGUUAACACCACCUGUGUCUGCAUGGUGUGUGUGACAGCAGCUCUUUAGCAGCCAUGCUCUCGGUGUGAAUGCCACGCGUGUGGGAGACGCAGCCAUCAAGCCUGAGCAGCGCAUGACGUCUCCGGCAGCCUAUGUGAACGGGGUGUUAGCGGGGAAUGCUGGUGGGAGCCAGAAUGGGCACCAGAACCCGACUCAGCAGCCUCCCAGUGAACACAGACGAAAAGUUUGACCACGGGGAUUAGGCUACAGUACCAGGGUAAUUUACAGCCUCUCCGGCCAGGACUCUGACUGUGGGGACGGUGAAGACACAGAGGGUUAAAGCGGGGACAGAAGAGGCAGCACCAAACCAAAGUUGGUCAUUGUUGGAACAGUGGAAAUACUAACCGAAAUUAUUUUGAAUGAAGUCACUGAAUGAAGGCAAUUAAAAAAAGAAACAGAGAGAAACUUAUACAAUCGUGUACAAUCAGUUUUCUGUUUAGUAAGAAAAACAGGUGAACAAAUAUUUCCUUUCUAGACAUUUUGAGAAUUUAUGUUAUUUAUUUAUUAGAAUAAAAAAGCCCCUUUGCGCUAUCUCCUUAGCAAUGUAGGAGCCGCAUUUCGUCAAUCACAUGCAGCGGAUAAAUACUCCUCAGACAUUUUGCUCAUCCUCUUCCUCUGCUGGUGAGCUUUCUCCUUCCAGUUCAAGGGUUCAGAAUCAGAGUUACAGUUUGGUUUCCUCUGUUUGUAUUUCAUACGUACUCCACUGUUUAAUGGCCUUUGGUAUUGGUUAAAACUGGAGAUGAAGGUUGUUUUCCUGUGAACCUGCACUAACCGCAUAAUAAACCACAAAGAUAGAAGUCUGUGAGAGUAUGACUGCACAAAGGUGAAGGAGGAUGCCCUCAGUAGACUGCACUCAGAGUCUCUCAGGAAAUUGUAAGCCAGAAUUUUAAAGUUGUUUAUCACUGUUCACAUGAUGGUUCUACCAGCAUCAUUAUAUCUGUGUGUACAUUUAUUUCUUUAUUUUUUGGAAAAGCCCAUACAGAAUGUUUUAUUAAAAGUUUAACAUUUUGGAAACAACAGCACAUAUGAAAAGCUGAACAUGGUAAAAUGUGAACAACAGUUGUUGCUGAAAGCAUGUUCAAGUAGUAUCCUAGAAUAAUAAUAAUGAUAACAAUAAAAAGAAGAAAAAGAAGGAGGAAAGCAAUCACAGUGUGCGACAGUGAAUCUCUUCCAUGCAGAGGUAAACAUGUCUAUUUGUUCUUUGUUAUUGUAAUUUGGUUGUUUUUAAGUCAGUAUUUACCACAGCCACAGUAACAGUAAUGAGCUGCCCCAGGGCUACUGCUGGAAAGCAAAAGGACAAUGCUUCCCCCUAAUGGCAAACUGGAAGUAUUUUCAAUCUAAUAUAAACAAUAUGACUAAUGUAUCAUUAAUGACAUUAGCGUAUUUUCUUAUGUUGCCUUUACUCAAACCUACAAAACUUAAUGUUUAAGCAACCCAAAUUUUCAAAAAGAUAAGAUCUUCAAAAAUAUAAUUACAGUGAGAAAGUCUCUGAAUGUGUUCCACUGGUAAUUAGGGACAAACUCUUUCUUGUUGCUGCCAAUGCUUAUGCAUUGACUUUUUCUCAAGUCAGAGUACAUCUAACCUAAGAAAAUGUCACUGCAUUAAUCUUUUACUACUCUCAAAAUACAUAACCUAUAAUGCAGUUCUAAUACGCAAAAUGACUAUUUACAGUGUUGUUUCAGCCUUGGUUGGUUGGUUCAGAAUGAUUUGUGCACCGUUUAGACCUUUAAAAUGAACCAGCAUAUCAAUAGUUGGUACCAACAUUUUUUAAUAGUAGCUUAAUCCCCUGAUGUUGCUUGGCAUUAAAAAGUUACACCCAUGUUUAAUUAUAGACUAUAGAAUAGUGUCACAGUAUAUUCCUAAACAUAUGCUUCUUUCAUUGUGCAACAUUUUGAUGCACACAAUUUACAAUGUGAAACCAGCAGGCAAUGAGAUGCUAUGACAGUACUUCAACACUAGAUGAUGCCACAAGACAAAACACACUGAAGAGUGUUGGGGGCUAUUAUAACUUUGUCACCAGAAAACAAAGCAUGCAGCACUUGGGAAUAGUUGCUUUUAUAAAAUAUAAAAAUGUUGCUAUUCUGUGACUAAUUUUGUUUAUAUGUGUUUAA